GACGAACGCUGGCGGCGUGCUUAACACAUGCAAGUCGAACGGAAAGGCCCCUUUGGGGGUACUCGAGUGGCGCACGGGUGAGUAACACGUGAGUAACCUGCCCUUGACUUCGGGAUAACUUCAGGAAACUGGGGCUAAUACCGGAUAGGAAUCCUUGCUGCAUGGUGGGGGUUGGAAAGCUUCGGCGGUUUUGGAUGGACUGGCGGCUUAUCAGCUUGUUGGUGGGGUAGUGGCUUACCAAGGCUUUGACGGGUAGCCGGCCUGAGAGGGCGACCGGCCACAUUGGGACUGAGAUACGGCCCAGACGCCUACGGGAGGCAGCAGUGGGGAAUAUUGCACAAGGGGCGGAAGCCUGAUGCAGCAACGCCGCGGGCGGGAUGACGGCCUUCGGGUUGUAAACCGCUUUCAGCAGGGGCGAAGCUUGUGGUGACGGUACCUGCAGAAGAAGCACCGGCUAACUACGUG
rnacentral:rRNA from 1 species